GCAGAUGGGUUGUUUUAACUGGUUAUAUUUGGAGGAUUUAGAAGAAGAUUCUGUUGACUGGUGCACCUGGAAACUUUGGAAUAAGAUACAAAACAAGAAAAGGGAAAAAAAAAAAAGGUUGAAAGAUGCUUGUCCUUGGACAUUGUUUGAAGGCAACGAAUGGAAUAAGGAAUACAUUCUCUUUUGUCUCCUUCAGUAAGUUUGGUACUUAUUCAGCCCACAUAGUAUAAAAUAGAAUGGGCCCAAUUCUUUUUCAUCAUCAAUUGGAAUAAGACAGCCAGCUCUGCACCGACGAAACCUAAGCAUCUGGGACCCAAUGAAAAGAAAAGAGAAGGAUUGUACUUGCUUCCAAACUUACAUUUGAUUAAGGAAAAGACAAUUCUUGCCCUGGAAAUGACUCCCUGCCCACGACUCCUGCCUCCAUUGGCCAGAUUCUCAAGUAGCGAAAUAUG
rnacentral:misc_RNA from 1 species